UACGGAGGGAGCUAGCGUUGUUCGGAUUUACUGGGCGUAAAGGGCGCGUAGGCGGUAGCACAAGUCAGUUGUGAAAUCUCCGGGCUUAACUCGGAAAGGUCAACUGAUACUGUGCGACUAGAGUGCAGAAGGGGCAACUGGAAUUCUCGGUGUAGCGGUGAAAUGCGUAGAUAUCGAGAGGAACACCUGCGGCGAAGGCGGGUUGCUGGGCUGACACUGACGCUGAGGCGCGAAAGCCAGGGGAGCGAACGGG
rnacentral:rRNA from 1 species